AGGCAGGAAGAGGAAGUGCGCGGGGGCGGCGGGUCUGUGCGCGGCGCCGGCGGUGGUGAUGUCUCCAGGUUAAUUUCCACUGUCAGGAUGUGAGAUUUGUGCUGAAAAUGUUACAGUGAAGAGGAACGUGUCAAAAAGCAAUGGAUUUUGUUAGAGGAAGAGAUUGACUAUGGGAAAAUGAGAAAAUACAAGUUAUGAGAAGACUUGUUUUCAAAGCUGCAAUGUGUCUGUAUGUUUAUAAAAGACCACUUUGAAGUAACACUUCUACAUCCUCCAUUGGACUGAGGUUUCAUGAGGAGUCAUGGCCUAGCACUCUCUUAAUGUCAACCAUGCCAAUCACUUUGCAUGGGGUAAGCUGGGCUGGCAAGUUUGGGGAAGCAUUACCACAGAGGGGAAGUGCCCUUCCCACCACAGCUGUUGCAGACUCAAGUCUUUUCUCAUUUGCUGAAAUCCUACCCCACAAGGUUCUAUGCUUUGAAUUUUUGAAAAGGAGAGAAUGGAUCAUUUAUUGAAGUGUAAGGAACAAUCAGUUCAUAAAGAUAUACCUAUAAAUAAAUUAACACUUUCCUCUUGUGGUUAGAUUAUCUUAUAAAUUGCCCAUGAGUGUUAAUAAUUGGCAGUGUUCUAAAAUCUCCAAAUCAUACCAAAGCAAGAAAAAAAACAAGCAUAGCAAACAUUAAAUCUGGUAGCUCUACCACUGGAACAAGUGGUGAUGAAGUGGGAGCUCUGAAGGUGAAAUUAUUCUAUCCUGUUUCCAGUUAGAACCCUCCUGAUCUCCCUUUUGGGUUGGCUCAGCUCACUGCCUGCAUUUUUCCUCAGCACUCAGCAGAUGUUCCACAUUCCUGGCAUCUCUUAACUUCAUGGGGUCUCCACUGCACUUUUGGCUUCAUUCUCACAAUGAUUCACACUGACUUUCCAAGGGCAUAAUGCCUGAUCUCUCAAAAUCUGGAUGGCAGUGUUUCUGACCUCACAGGUCCAGCAUUCUUUGUGCUCAUUAAACCAGUACCACAUGCAUGACACCUAGUUCUGCCACCAGCAUCAGCAGUUAGAUAGGCCCCCUUUAAUCAUGGAUGCACGGUCUCUGAGUCCCUGGAUGGCUGAACAUGGUGAACAGAAUCCCAGGGAAUCAUUUCCCUUGUUAACUAUUCUUAAUUUGUGAACCAAGGUCCCUAUUCUCAAUUGAAAGUGUUCAGGUUUGCACUCUUGAAGCUGUGAAGGGUGGGGCUUUCCUGAUUUAUGAGAUACACUCAAUGCACCUUUUCUAUCAUCCAGGUAAAAGGUACAUGGUUUCUUUUUAAUGCUAAUCUUUGUAGCCAACAAGGUUUCCUUGACCAAAACUUUAUAGGCCCCACCUUUGUAGGCCUCAGUAUUUCAGAUCUCAAAUUUACAGGCACUUCCUGACCACCAAUAAAAAUUUUCAAAUUAUUUAGCUCUGCUUUUUGCUCAUGGUUGUCAUGGUAGAUAGGGCUGAAAUCCUCCAGCAGUGUCCAUGCCACAUCCUCAAUAUUGGGCUGCCUUGACAUUUCUUUCACUAGUUUAGUUCAACCACUGCCCUGAAGCUUAGUCUUCUGCAGAGUGCCAAGACAUGAGCAAAAUGAAGGUAAUAUUUCUACCAGAUGCACAUGGUCUAGAGUCCAGCUGCUGUUGGAAUCCUUUUUCCCAACUGAAGCCUUCUGACUUUGUUUUUUAUCAUCUGCAUUUUUAUAAGCACUCUGGUCUUUUGAGCUCUGAAUGGAAUCUACCAUUAAGCUUGGUUACAGAAUUCUAGGAUUUCUCUAGCCAGCAUCUACAAACCAUUCCAAACUCCUCCCGUGAAGCAGUUCCAAAGGGCUCUAACAGUGAAGACCCUACCUUUCUGGGAUCAAAGUUUGUCUUAGGCACUUUUUUCCUCAUCCCUGGAACAAAAUACAAACCUACAGGUUAAAUGAGUAGUUUAUUGG